CCUACGGGGGGCAGCAGUGGGGAAUAUUGGGCAAUGGGCGCAAGCCUGACCCAGCAAUGCCGCGUGAAGGAAGAAGGCCCUCGGGUUGUAAACUUCUUUUAUCAGGGACGAAGGAUGUGACGGUACCUGAUGAAUAAGCUCCGGCUAACUACGUGCCAGCAGCCGCGGUAAUACGUAGGGAGCAAGCGUUAUCCGGAUUUAUUGGGUUUAAAGGGUGCGUAGGCGGUUUUUUAAGUUAGUGGUUAAACGUCGGGGCUUCACCUUGAUUUGCCAUUAAUACUGUAAGACUUGAGUUC
rnacentral:rRNA from 1 species